rnacentral:rRNA from 1 species
UUUAAGCACAAGCAUAAGAAUGGUAAAGCCGCGAAUGGCUCAUUACAACAGCCAUAGUUUACUGGAUCUUACUUUCCUACUUGGAUAACUGUGGUAAUUCUAGAGCUAAUACACGCAUGAAAGCUCUGACCGUUCGGGAGGAGCGCAUUUAUUAGAACAAAACCAAUCGGGCCUUCGGGCCCGCCAGUUGGUGAAUCUGAAUAACUUUGCAGAUCGCACGGUCUCGUACCGGCGACGUAUCUUUCAAAUGUCUGCCUUAUCAACUUUAGAUGGUAGUUUACACGCCUACCAUGGUUGUAACGGGUAACGGAGAAUAAGGGUUCGACUCCGGAGAGGGAGCCUGAGAAAUGGCUACCACAUCCAAGGAAGGCAGCAGGCACGCAAAUUACCCACUCCCGGCACGGGGAGGUAGUGACGAAAAAUAACGAGGCGGUUCUCUACGAGGCCCGCCAUCGGAAUGGGUACAAUUUAAAUCCUUUAACGAGGAUCUAUUGGGAGGGCAAGUCUGGGUGCCAG